rnacentral:rRNA from 1 species
ACGAACGCUGGCGGCAUGCCUAACACAUGCAAGUCGCACGAAGGCUUCGGCCUUAGUGGCGCACGGGUGCGUAACGCGUGGGAAUCUGCCCUUUGGUUCGGAAUAACAGCUGGAAACGGCUGCUAAUACCGGAUGAUGACGAAAGUCCAAAGAUUUAUCGCCAGAGGAUGAGCCCGCGUUGGAUUAGGUAGUUGGUGGGGUAAAGGCCUACCAAGCCGACGAUCCAUAGCUGGUCUGAGAGGAUGAUCAGCCACACUGGGACUGAGACACGGCCCAGACUCCUACGGGAGGCAGCAGUGGGGAAUAUUGGACAAUGGGCGCAAGCCUGACCCAGCAAUGCCGCGUGAGUGAUGAAGGCCCUAGGGUUGUAAAGCUCUUUUACCCGGGAAGAUAAUGACUGUACCGGGAGAAUAAGCCCCGGCUAACUCCGUG